UCACGAUCGCAUAACCCAACUCAGCAAGGCGUUCGAAGUCGUCCCCACUCCGCAAAGGACCCUAGCAAUAGUCCACUCGGGAAGGCAUCCCACUCGCGAAGGCGCGGCUUUCCCGACUCGCGAUCGGGAAGAACCCUAGCGGCAUCCUUCACAGGAGCCUGUGGAGCUGUACUAGAUCAACAACAACCAUGAAGAUGGCAUCCAACGAGUUCUAAAGGAAAAGUUUGGCGAAGUAGUCAAGGAUAUCCAGCAAGUUGAGGAGGCCAAUAUUGAAACAAAUGUCGAGGUAGGUAGUAACUUUUGAGAAAGGGAAAGAAAAUGAUAAGUGAACAAAUAAUUGGCAGCUGCUGAUUUUUUAUUAUUCAUGUCUCACAUCAGGCUGUAAAUAACCAUCUGGCAAUAUUAUUGAGGCCUGCUAUCAGAAA